AGGGAGGCCUGCACUCUCUACUUCAAAGCAAAGCAGCAGUGUUAAGUUACCUGAGGAACACAGGAUCAUUUCAAGUCCAGGAGACUGCUUGUCAAAGUUUGUGUCAGUCACUUGGAGAAGGGUGAAUUUUACCCAUCAAGUGCUGAAAAGCUUGUUUUUGUCACUACUUUCACAUCUUUGCCGGGUCGGAUUAAAGGAAAAGGAGAUGGAUUUCAGUGGAGAUGAAGAUCAGGCAUAGGUCGUGGAUAUCGAAGACA